rnacentral:lncRNA from 1 species
UUUGAAAGGCUGUAAAGUAGGAAAGGCUAAACUGGGGAGGAGGAAAACUUAGUAGAUAAAUUACAUAGACCUUGAGGUGAUUCUGUGCUCAAGAAGCAGAGACGUGGAGUCACUGAAUGAAAAUGAAAGAACAGGCAGUGUCUACGGUCAGAACUGAAAGGUUUUAGUUUACCUAGUUAAUUCCUUAGAUUUACAUCUUAGUUCCCUCCUUAUCUUGCAUGUGCAUAUAAACUUAGGCUUACUGAGCCAUUUUAUUUUUCUCCCCAAAUAAGACUAAUUUUAUAGGAGACAUAGGGGCCACUGCAGCAGCUUAGCUGAGGAACGUAUGAGAAACUGUUCAUUUUCUGUCCCCUCCUGUCUUAGGCUGAUCUGUCCCUUGAUGUGCUACCUGCUUCUGCUACCGACCCAUACUGCAGACUUCUCAUUCAUCCCCAAGGCCUCCAAGCAAUGUCCAAUAGGGAAUCGACUCUAAAAGGAACCAGACCAGACCAGACCAGACCAAAAAGGUGUGCAGCCCUUUCAUUGUGGUGAUUGAGGGAAGGAAAGAAUGGGAGGGGGUAUACAUGUGUAGUGGAUGGAAGGGAAACAGACUGUCAAAUUACUAUAUCUCUUCAGUUUCUUUUAGAAUAGAAUUCUGCAACCAUACUAUCACUACUGUGUAAAUAUAGG